UCCACGUUUCCGCGCCGUAGCUAACGCAUUAAGUGCCCGCCUGGGGAGUACGGCCGCAAGGCUAAAACUCAAAGGAAUUGACGGGGGCCCGCACAAGCGGCGGAGCAUGCGGAUUAAUUCGAUGCAACGCGAAGAACCUUACCAAGGCUUGACAUGGACCGGACCGCCGCAGAAAUGUGGUUAUCCCCUUUGGGGCUGGUCUACAGGUGGAUGCAUGGU
rnacentral:rRNA from 1 species